rnacentral:tRNA from 1 species
AGUGGUAAGGCAACGGGUUUUGGUCCCGCUAUUCGGAGGUUCGAAUCCUUCCGUCCCA